rnacentral:rRNA from 1 species
AUUCCGGUUGAUCCCGCCGGAGGUGACUGCUUUCCGAGUUUGACUAAGCUAUGCUAGUCCUGGGUAAAACCAGGGCGCAAAGCUCAGUAAUACGUCGUUAAUCUACCCUGCAGCCAGUUAUAAUCCCGCUAACGUGGGGCUAACGCUGAUAGGAGAGGAAUGCUGGAAUGCAUCCUUUCUGAAUGCAGGAUGAGACGGCGGCCCAUCAUGGUUGUUGCGAGUCUAACGUCCUCGCAAGCCGAUAACGGGUACGGGCCUUGAGAGAGGAAGCCCGGAGAUGGAUUCUGAGACAAUAAUCCAGGCCCUACGGGGCGCAGCAAGCGCGAAACUUUCGCAAUGCACGCAAGUGUGACGGAGAGACUUGGAGUGUAUUCUCCUUUGGAGGAUACUUUUGUCGAGUCUAGACCGCUCGGCGAAUAAGGGGUGGGUAAGACGGGUGCCAGCCGCCGCGGUAAUACCCGCGCCCCAAGUGGUCACCAUUUUUAUUGGGUUUAAAGUGUUCGUAGCCGGGCAUGCGCGUCUUUCAUGAAAUUCCACAGCUAACUGUGGAGCUGGUGAGAGAUACGGCAUGUCUUGGGACUGGAAGAGGUGAAGGGUAUGGACGGGGUAGGGGUAAAAUCCUAUAAUCCUGUUUGGACCACCUGUGGCGAAGGCGCUUCACUAGGACAGAUCCGACGGUGAGGGACGAAAGCUAGGGGAGCAAAGGGGAUUAGAUACCCCCGUAGUCCUAGCUGUAAACGAUGCCCGCUCGACAUUGGCAUUCUCACGUGGAAUGCCAGAGUCUGAGGGAAACCAUUAAGCGGGCCGCCUGGGGAGUACGGUCGCAAGGCUGAAAUAGAAGAAGUCCGUUUCAUAUUCAUUACACAAACGGAUAACAACAAAAGCCAUCGCUUGCGACCGUAUCUUCAAUCGGAAUGAUAAGAUGGCCUGACUGUGUACAUUCAUAACAACAAAAAGUUUGGGCUUCUUCUACAGCAAACUUAAGGGAAUUGGCGGGGGAGCACACAAGGGGUGGAUGCUGCGGUUUAAUUGGAUUCAACGCCAGCAACCUUACCAGUGGCGACAGCAGAAUGAAGGUCAGUCUGAAGGGCUUACCAGACGCGCUGAGCGGAGCUGCAUGGCCGUCGUCAGUUCGUGGCGUGAGCUGUCCUGUUAAGUCAGGUAACGAACAAGACCCGCGUCCGAUGUUGCUACCCAUCUUCGGAUGGCGCACUCAUCGGAGACCGCUGUUGACAAAACAGAGGAAGGUGCGGUCGACGGCAGGUCCGUAUGGCCUUAAUCCACUGGGAUACACGCGGCAUACAAUGGUUGGGACAAUGGGAUGCGACCCCGAAAGGGGAAGCCAAUCCUCGAAACCCAAUCUCAGUCCGGAUUGAGGGUUGUAACCCACCCUCAUGAAGCCGAAAUCCCUAGUAGUCGCUUGUCACUAUCCAGCGGCGAAUAUGUUCCUGCUCCUUGCACACACUGCCCGUCAAGCCAACCGAGUGGAUCUUUGGUGAGCUCCUGGUUCUUGCCAGGAUCGAGCCACGGAUUUGUGAGGUGGGCUAAGUCGUAAACGAGUUGCGACCCUGAAACCGUAAGGUUACAGGAAAAACCUGGCU